rnacentral:rRNA from 1 species
CAGUCGCCGCGGUAACACCAGCACCUCGAGUGGUCAGGAGGUUUAUUGGGCCUAAAGCAUCCGUAGCCGGUUGCAUAAGUUUUCGGUUAAAUCUAUGUGCUUAACGUAUAGGCCGCCGAAAAUACUGUGCAGCUAGGGAGUGGGAGAGGUACACGGUACUCGAUAGGAAGGGGUAAAAUCCUUUGAUCUAUUGAUGACCACCUGUGGCGAAGGCGGUGUACCAGAACACGUUCGACGGUGAGGGAUGAAAGCUGGGGGAGCAAACCGGAUUAGAUACCCCCGUAGUCCCUGUCUCUUAUAC